GCUCAGGAGGCUGAGGCAGGAGAAUCACUUGGAGCAGGGAGGUGGAGGUUGCAGUGAGCUGAGAUGGCACCAGUGCACUCCAGCCUGGGGACAGAGUGAGUCUCAAAAAAAAAAAAAAUGUUUCAGAGACAAAAUCUUGCUGUCACCCAGGCUGGAGUGUAGUGGUGCCAUCACAGCUCACUGUAGCCUUGAACUCCUGGGCUCAAGGGAUCCACCUGCCUCAGCCUUCUGAGUAGCUGGGGCUACUGGUGCAUGCCACCAUGCCCAGUUAAUUUUUUUAAAAUUAUUUUUGUAGAGAUGGGGGUCUCACUAUGUUGCCCAGGCUUGUCUCAGACUCCUGGCCUCAAGUGAUCCUACAACAGCCUCCCAGAAUGCUUGGAAUACAGGCAUGAGCGCCUGUACCCAGCCUACAUACAUGUAUCCUGGUUAUCCUUGGGAAAUGAGUAUCCUGGUUCACAAGCAAUCUCUAGGCAAGCUGUGCGUCAAGAAAACCCACCGCCAUCACUAGAAAACAACUAGAAGUGUUCAUCCUCUUAGGAAGAGGCAAGUCGGUCCACCUCACCAUCAGUGAAUGGCACAUGACCAUCAAUCAGCACAGGCUUGUUGAAUGAAUGCGUGCAUGAAUGAAUGACACUGGUCUAGGCUGUCUUUCACAUGUCUUCAUUCUUGUCAAAGACAGCCUAGACCACGCCCUAGGCUAAAUAAUAGUCAAUAUCAGGUCAUGAUCUUAGCCAUUUGGAAAUUUUUACAUGGCCUGAACAUGUGUGUAAUUUCUUUUUCUUUUCUUUUCUUUUUUUUUUUUUUGAGAUGGAGUCUCGCUUUGUCACCCAGGCUGGAGUGCAAUGGCAUGAUCUCAGCUCACUGCAGCUUCCACCUCCCCAGUUCAAGCGAUUCUCCCGCCUCAGCCUCUUGAGUAGCUGGGAUUACAG
rnacentral:lncRNA from 1 species